rnacentral:tRNA from 1 species
GGGGAUUUAGCUCAGUGGUAGAGCGUUUGCCUAGCAAGCACAAGGCCCUGGGUUUGGUUCCCAUCUCCA